UACAGGGGGGGCAAGCGUUGUUCGGAAUUACUGGGCGUAAAGGGCUCGUAGGUGGCCAACUAAGUCAGACUGAAUACCUCCAGCUUAACUGGGGAACUGCGUCUGAUACUGGAUGGCUUGAGUUUGGGAGAGGGAUGCGGAAUUCCAGGUGUAGCGGUGAAAUGCGUAGAUAUCUGGAGGAACACCGGUGGCGAAGGCGGCAUCCUGGACCAUACUGAC
rnacentral:rRNA from 1 species